CAGUAGCCGCGGGAAUACGGAGGGUGCAAGCGUUAAUCGGAAUUACUGGGCGUAAAGCGCACGCAGGCGGUCUGUCAAGUCAGAUGUGAAAUCCCCGGGCUUAACCUGGGAACUGCAUUUGAAACUGGCAGACUGGAGUCUUGUAGAGGGGGGUAGAAUUCCAGGUGUAGCGGUGAAAUGCGUAGAGAUCUGGAGGAACACCAGUGGCGAAGGCGGCCCGCUGGACAAAGACUGACGCUCAGGUGCGAAAGCGUGGGGAGCAAACAGGAUUAGAUACCCGCGUAGUCCUGUCUCUUAUACA
rnacentral:rRNA from 1 species